AAGAAACUAACAAGGAUUCCCCUAGUAACGGCGAGUGAAGCGGGAAGAGCUCAAAUUUGAAAUCUGGUAGCCUUCGGUUGCCCGAGUUGUAAUCUAGAGAAGUGUUUUCCGUGCCGGCCCAUGUACAAGUCCCUUGGAACAGGGCGUCAUAGAGGGUGAGAAUCCCGUCCUUGACAUGGACCCCCGGUGCUUUGUGAUACACUUUCAACGAGUCGAGUUGUUUGGGAAUGCAGCUCAAAAUGGGUGGUGAAUUCCAUCUAAAGCUAAAUAUUGGCGAGAGACCGAUAGCGAACAAGUACCGUGAGGGAAAGAUGAAAAGCACUUUGGAAAGAGAGUUAAACAGUACGUGAAAUUGUUGAAAGGGAAACGAUUGAAGUCAGUCAUGCUCUUAGGAUUCAGCCGUUCUGCGGUGUAUUUCCUUUGAGUGGGGUCAACAUCAGUUUUGAUCGAUGGAUAAAGGCACGAGGAAGGUAGCACUCUCGGGUGAACUUAUAGCCUCGCGUCAUAUACAUUGAUUGGGACUGAGGAACGCAGCAUGCCUUUAUGGCCGGGAUUCGUCCACGUACAUGCUUAGG
rnacentral:rRNA from 1 species